GAGGAUAUAGCUCAAGAGGUAGAGUGCGUGCUUAACAUGCACCAGGUCUCGGGUUCAAUCCCCAGUGCCUCCA
rnacentral:tRNA from 1 species